rnacentral:misc_RNA from 1 species
AGCAGCCGCGGUAAUUCCAGCUCCAAUAGCGUAUAUUAAAGUUGUUGCAGUUAAAAAGCUCGUAGUUGAAUUUCGGGGUUAGUAGGUUGGUCAUGCCUCUGGUAUGUACUGGUCUCACUGAUUCCUCCUUCCUGAUGAGCCGUAAUGCCAUUAAUUUGGUGUUGCGGGGAAUCUGGACUGUUACUUUGAAAAAAUUUAGAGUGUUUAAAGCAAGCUAACGCUUGAAUACAUUAGCAUGGAAUAAUGAAAUAGGACGUUCGAUCCUAUUUUGUUGGUUUCUAGGAUUGACGUAAUGAUUAAUAGGGAUAGUUGGGGGGCAUUAGUAUUCAAUUGUCAGAGGUGAAAUUCUUGGAUUUAUUGAAGACUAACUACUGCGAAAGCAUUUUGCCAAGGAUGUUUUUCAUUAAUCAAGAACGAAAGUUAGGGGAUCGAAGACGAUCAGAUACCGUCGUAGUCUUAACCAUAAACUAUGCCGACUAGGGAUCGGAUGAUGUUAAUUUUUUUAAUGACUCAUUCGGCG